GAUGACUGCACAGUACCCACUUCAUUAAGUGAAGUUCCUGGAGAAGUUAUGUGCAUGUUGUGUGUAUGUAUACAUCGUAGGCUAGUUAUCAGAAAUGAGGAGCAACUGUAAUUAUUCAUCAAUGUCAAGAUUGCUAUACAGUACACUUCAUUGAAUGGAGUUCCUGGAGAGGUGGUGAACAAUUCACCAUGUUAAGAUUGGAGUUCCCGGAGAGCUUGUGUACAUACUGCAGUAGGCUAGCUAGACAAAAUGAGGAGCCUCUAGGAGCAACUAUGAAAUGUAAAAUUAAAAUACUAGUAGCAGC